rnacentral:tRNA from 1 species
ACCUGGCUGGCUCAGUCAGAAGAGCACACAACUCUCGAUCUUGGGGUUGUGAGUUCAAGCCCCAUGCUGGGUG